AAUGAGAACAUGAUGUUGGUUCAGAUCAAAUGCUAUGUAGAGGCAUUACACAUGCAAGUUAUAUGAUUUAAAUAAAUCAAAAAAUAUAGCGUUCAGGUGAGUGAUA
rnacentral:rRNA from 1 species